rnacentral:lncRNA from 1 species
UCUGUAGGGUCCACUCGGCAUGGACGGCAAACCAGGUCUCCCUGGUCCUAAAGGAAGUCAGGUACAAUACCACACUCAUCAAUAGUACCAUAAUCCCCUGAGUCCUUGUCUUCGGAAAUGGGAACCUUUUACAUUCUACACAAUUCCAUGGAAACGUACCUCAGUUUUGUGUCAUU